CCUACGGGAGGCAGCAGUGGGGAAUAUUGGGCAAUGGGCGCCACCAUGACCCAGCAACGCCGCGUGAAGGAUGAAGGCCUUCGGGUUGUAAACUUCUUUUCUCAGGGAAGCAGACAGUGACGGUACCUCCGGAAUAAGCCUCGGCUAACUACGUGCCAGCAGCCGCGUUAAUACGUAGGUGGCAAGCAGUAUCCGGAUUUACUGGGUGUAAGGGGUGUGUAGGGGGGAAGGCAAGUUAGCCGUGAAACCCCGGGGCGCAACCUGUGCACUGCAGUUGAAACUGUAGUUCUUGAGUACUGGAGAGGCAGACGGAAUGCCUAGUGUAGCGGUGAAAUGCGUAGAUAUUAGGAGGAACACCAGUGGCGAAGGC
rnacentral:rRNA from 1 species